rnacentral:lncRNA from 1 species
UGAGCCACCACCAGGUCUUGGCAGGCGGUUCUGUUGCUGAAUAUAAACAUCGUUAUUUCAGGCCCAGUUACAUGAUAGGUUACAAAGUCUGCUGGUUGUAUUUCAUGUAUGAGUGUGUCUUGUAUACAUAUAUGUACAGUAAAAAGAGUGGGGCUGCAUCUUCGAUGUUCUCUUGUAUCGAUACUUGGUACUUAUAGUGUGUAAUAAAAGCUUGAAUGUACAACACAUAUCUUUCUCGAGGUUACCUCUCUUUCAAACUUGAUGUUGAAAUUUGAUGUAUCACUCAACAGUUGUUACCCCUCCUUGGAGUAACAAAAGGGGAACAGACUCGUGGUGAACUGCAACCAGGUCUUGGCAGUGGUUAUGUUGCUGAAUAUAAGUGGUGGUUGUUUCAGUUCC